GGGUUGUGAGGUUAAGCGACUAAGCGUACACGGUGGAUGCCCUGGCAGUCAGAGGCGAUGAAGGACGUGCUAAUCUGCGAUAAGCGUCGGUAAGGUGAUAUGAACCGUUAUAACCGGCGAUUUCCGAAUGGGGAAACCCAGUGUGUUUCGACACACUAUCAUUAACUGAAUCCAUAGGUUAAUGAGGCGAACCGGGGGAACUGAAACAUCUAAGUACCCCGAGGAAAAGAAAUCAACCGAGAUUCCCCCAGUAGCGGCGAGCGAACGGGGAGCAGCCCAGAGCCUGAAUCAGUGUGUGUGUUAGUGGAAGCGUCUGGAAAGGCGCGCGAUACAGGGUGACAGCCCCGUACACAAAAAUGCACAUGCUGUGAGCUCGAUGAGUAGGGCGGGACACGUGGUAUCCUGUCUGAAUAUGGGGGGACCAUCCUCCAAGGCUAAAUACUCCUGACUGACCGAUAGUGAACCAGUACCGUGAGGGAAAGGCGAAAAGAACCCCGGCGAGGGGAGUGAAAAAGAACCUGAAACCGUGUACGUACAAGCAGUGGGAGCACGCUUAGGCGUGUGACUGCGUACCUUUUGUAUAAUGGGUCAGCGACUUAUAUUCUGUAGCAAGGUUAACCGAAUAGGGGAGCCGAAGGGAAACCGAGUCUUAACUGGGCGUUAAGUUGCAGGGUAUAGACCCGAAACCCGGUGAUCUAGCCAUGGGCAGGUUGAAGGUUGGGUAACACUAACUGGAGGACCGAACCGACUAAUGUUGAAAAAUUAGCGGAUGACUUGUGGCUGGGGGUGAAAGGCCAAUCAAACCGGGAGAUAGCUGGUUCUCCCCGAAAGCUAUUUAGGUAGCGCCUCGUGAAUUCAUCUCCGGGGGUAGAGCACUGUUUCGGCAAGGGGGUCAUCCCGACUUACCAACCCGAUGCAAACUGCGAAUACCGGAGAAUGUUAUCACGGGAGACACACGGCGGGUGCUAACGUCCGUCGUGAAGAGGGAAACAACCCAGACCGCCAGCUAAGGUCCCAAAGUCAUGGUUAAGUGGGAAACGAUGUGGGAAGGCCCAGACAGCCAGGAUGUUGGCUUAGAAGCAGCCAUCAUUUAAAGAAAGCGUAAUAGCUCACUGGUCGAGUCGGCCUGCGCGGAAGAUGUAACGGGGCUAAACCAUGCACCGAAGCUGCGGCAGCGACGCUGAUGCGUUGUUGGGUAGGGGAGCGUUCUGUAAGCCUGCGAAGGUGUGCUGUGAGGCAUGCUGGAGGUAUCAGAAGUGCGAAUGCUGACAUAAGUAACGAUAAAGCGGGUGAAAAGCCCGCUCGCCGGAAGACCAAGGGUUCCUGUCCAACGUUAAUCGGGGCAGGGUGAGUCGACCCCUAAGGCGAGGCCGAAAGGCGUAGUCGAUGGGAAACAGGUUAAUAUUCCUGUACUUGGUGUUACUGCGAAGGGGGGACGGAGAAGGCUAUGUUGGCCGGGCGACGGUUGUCCCGGUUUAAGCGUGUAGGCUGGUUUUCCAGGCAAAUCCGGAAAAUCAAGGCUGAGGCGUGAUGACGAGGCACUACGGUGCUGAAGCAACAAAUGCCCUGCUUCCAGGAAAAGCCUCUAAGCAUCAGGUAACAUCAAAUCGUACCCCAAACCGACACAGGUGGUCAGGUAGAGAAUACCAAGGCGCUUGAGAGAACUCGGGUGAAGGAACUAGGCAAAAUGGUGCCGUAACUUCGGGAGAAGGCACGCUGAUAUGUAGGUGAAGUCCCUCGCGGAUGGAGCUGAAAUCAGUCGAAGAUACCAGCUGGCUGCAACUGUUUAUUAAAAACACAGCACUGUGCAAACACGAAAGUGGACGUAUACGGUGUGACGCCUGCCCGGUGCCGGAAGGUUAAUUGAUGGGGUUAGCGCAAGCGAAGCUCUUGAUCGAAGCCCCGGUAAACGGCGGCCGUAACUAUAACGGUCCUAAGGUAGCGAAAUUCCUUGUCGGGUAAGUUCCGACCUGCACGAAUGGCGUAAUGAUGGCCAGGCUGUCUCCACCCGAGACUCAGUGAAAUUGAACUCGCUGUGAAGAUGCAGUGUACCCGCGGCAAGACGGAAAGACCCCGUGAACCUUUACUAUAGCUUGACACUGAACAUUGAGCCUUGAUGUGUAGGAUAGGUGGGAGGCUU
rnacentral:rRNA from 1 species